GAGUAACACGUGGGUAACCUGCCUGUAAGACUGGGAUAACUCCGGGAAACCGGGGCUAAUACCGGAUGGUUGUUUGAACCGCAUGGUUCAAACAUAAAAGGUGGCUUCUGCUACCACUUACAGAUGGACCCGCGGCGCAUUAGCUAGUUGGUGAGGUAACGGCUCACCAAGGCAACGAUGCGUAGCCGACCUGAAAGGGUGAUCGGCCACACUGGGACUGAGACACGGCCCAGACUCCUACGGGAGGCAGCAGUAGGGAAUCUUCCGCAAUGGACGAAAGUCUGACGGAGCAACGCCGCGUGAGUGAUGAAGGUUUUCGGAUCGUAAAGCUCUGUUGUUAGGGAAGAACAAGUACCGUUCGAAUAGGGCGGUACCUUGACGGUACCUAACCAGAAAGCCACGGCUAACUACGUGCCAGCAGCCGCGGUAAUACGUAGGUGGCAAGCGUUGUCCGGAAUUAUUGGGCGUAAAGGGCUCGCAGGCGGUUUCUUAAGUCUGAUGUGAAAGCCCCCGGCUCAACCGGGGAGGGUCAUUGGAAACUGGGGAACUUGAGUGCAGAAGAGGAGAGUGGAAUUCCACGUGUAGCGGUGAAAUGCGUACAGAUGUGGAGGAACACCAGUGGCGAAGGCGACUCUCUGGUCUGUAACUGACGCUGAGGAGCGAAAGCGUGGGGAGCGAACAGGAUUAGAUACCCUGGUAGUCCACGCCGUAAACGAUGAGCGCUAAGUGUUAGGGGGUUUCCGCCCCUUAGUGCUGCAGCUAACGCA
rnacentral:rRNA from 1 species